rnacentral:tRNA from 1 species
GCGAAAGUGGCGAAAUUGGCAGACGCACCAGACUUAGGAUCUGGCGGAGUAAUCCGUGGGGGUUCAAGUCCCCCCUUUCGCACCA